CCAAAGCCAUUUCAGCCAUUGUGUUAACAUUAAUCAGUAUUGUGAAGAGCAGUUUAGAAUAGGAAACCCCUCUUCAGGCUGUGUUCUCUUCAAAGGCAAAAACCAGACUAAUCUUUUUAAUAGUGCAAGCAAGAAGUAAUGGACUAUUGAUAAAGCAGUUUAUUUUGACUAACAGAUGUGGCAAAUUAACUCAGCUGCAAUCUCCUCAAUCUACUGCUGCCUAAAAUAGAGAGAGCUGCAUGGAGAAGGCCAAAUAAGCUGCUGUAAUCUUUCCAUCUGGGGGAACUCAAGCAGCUAUCAUUCACCACUGUCAUUUACAUAACUGGUGGAGGAAAGAGGGAACUCACAUACUGAACAUGGAGAGUGCUCAGUUUGUUUCUCUGUUUUGAAAAGCAUCAUUAUUCCUAAUAUUUCAGAGCGUAUAGGAGUGACAGAACAUUCACCAUGGCUAAUCCAACUGUGAACUUAAAACUGGGCUUCUUCAACUCCCACAGCCCCUGCAGUGACAGCUGAUUUACACUAAACCAGCAAGGAUCAGCAGAGAGAUCAGCACAACAGCUUGCAGGGUGCAGUACCAGGAAUCACACAGGACAUCAAUGAGGAGUAAUCCUCACUUUCCAGGGCAUAGCACCACAGCUCUGGCAUCCAUAAUACCAGAACCAUCAGCAAUUUUUGGAAAUCCAAGAAGAACAGCAGUGUCAGCAGUCUGCAGACUCAGGAACCCAAGAGCAUACUAAUCUCUGUGUGGGGAAAGAUCCUGUACUCUACAUUCCAUAGAAAAUCCUAUGCUUCAGCCCCUAGAUAAAGUGACUCUGGUCAAUACCUGGCAAAACCUAUGCCACAAAUUAAGAUACCACUUUGACUAGGAAGGAAUAAAAACCCCAAAAUCCCCCA
rnacentral:lncRNA from 1 species